rnacentral:sRNA from 1 species
GAAGGUAGUGAGUUACCUCAACCGAUUGUUCGCAGUCAGUUACAGAUCAAACCCCUUGUUCAGCUCUUUCUACCCUUCUCACUACUGCACUC